GAUGAACGCUGACAGAAUGCUUAACACAUGCAAGUCAACUUGAACUUCGGUAUGGGUGGCGGACGGGUGAGUGACGCGUAAAGAACUUGCCUCACAGCUAGGGACAACAUUUGGAAACGAAUGCUAAUACCUGAUAUUAUGAUUAUAUGGCACCGUAUAACUAUGAAAGCUAUAUGCGCUGUGAGAGAGCUUUGCGUCCAAUUAGCUAGUUGGAGAGGUAACAGCUCACCAAGGCGAUGAUGGGUAGCCGGCCUGAGAGGGUGAUCGGCCACAAGGGGACACGGACACGGCCAUUGCGCAUUCUGGAGGCAGCAGUGCGAAAUAUAGGACGAUGGACCGAGAGUCUGAUCCAGCAAUUCUGUGUGCACGAUGAAGUUUUUCGGAAUGAAAAGUACUUUCAGUUGAGAAGAAAAAAAUGACGGUACCAACAGAAGAAGUGACGGCUAAAUACGUG
rnacentral:rRNA from 1 species